rfam:Mesocricetus auratus contig187225, whole genome shotgun sequence.
AGUUUGGCAUCAAUAUGGUGACCUCCUGGGAGCCGGGGACCACCAGGUUGCCUAAGGAGGGGUGAACCAGCCCAGGUAGGAAACAGAACAGGUCAAAACUCCUGUGCUGAUCA